rnacentral:rRNA from 1 species
GUUGUAGUCUAGAGAAGCAUCAUCCGUGCUGGACCAUGUACAAGUCUCUUGGAACAGAGCGUCAUAGAGGGUGAGAAUCCCGUCCUUGACAUGGACUCCCAGUACUUUGUGUUGUGCUCUCAAC